AGACUGAACGCUGGCGGCGUGCUUAACACAUGCAAGUCGAACGAGAACAUGCAGUAGCAAUACUUGUGAUGCUAAGUGGCGCACGGGUGAGUAAUGUAUAGGUAACAUGCCCUUAAGAGGGGGAUAACAGAGGGAAACCUCUGCUAAUACCCCAUAACCCUUCUUAUCAUAAGAUAAGUUGGCAAAGUUUUUUCGCUUAAGGAUUGGCCUGUAUAAUAUCAGCUUGUUGGUGAAGUAAUGGCUCACCAAAGCUAUGACGCUUAACUGGUCUGAGAGGAUGAUCAGUCCCACUGCAACUGAGACACGGUCCACAAUCCUACGGGAGGCAGCAGUGGGGAAUAUUGCCCAAUGGGGGAAACCCUGAUGCCGCAACGCCGCGUGGAGGAUGACACUUUUCGGACCGUAAACUCCUUUUCUGUUAGAAGAUAAUGACGGU
rnacentral:rRNA from 1 species